rnacentral:rRNA from 1 species
UACGAAGGGGGCUAGCGUUGCUCGGAAUCACUGGGCGUAAAGCGCACGUAGGCGGCUUACUAAGUCAGGGGUGAAAUCCUGGAGCUCAACUCCAGAACUGCCUUUGAUACUGGUGAGCUUGAGUCCGGGAGAGGUGAGUGGAACUGCGAGUGUAGAGGUGAAAUUCGUAGAUAUUAGGAAGAACACCAGUGGCGAAGGCGGCUCACUGGUCCGGUACUGACGCUGAGGUGCGAAAGCGUGGGGAGCAAACAGG